UCGAUCUCAUCUGGACAUCCAGCCCCGCCCCGCCCCUCAUGGCUCAUAGCCGGCCGCCGCCGCCUCCUACCCCGCCGCCGCGCCUACCCCUACACCAAGUGCCAACACACCCGCGCCCAUCCACUACCGGGGACCCGCGGCCUUCUACCGCCGGCGGCACUCGACAUCGCGGCCAUUGGCGGCUCCCCGACCUUGCUACCAUGGCGCCUCCGGGACUCCUCCCCGCUGCUUCCACCUCGACAUUGGUUUCCCCAACCCCGCUGGCUUCGCCACCAGCCACUCCUUCUAGGCACACUCUAUCUGCCGUCGGACCCAUCCGCCUGGUUCCAAUGGUGAACAUCGCCGCCACCCUAUUGUGAGGCGAGGUGAUGUUCUUCGAACUGCCGGCUUGAUUCUGCCUAGAAGGGGAUAUCAUACUUCUCCUAAUCAGGAUUGUUGUGUAACGGAAUGAUGGUAGGAUGCUGAAUAAUAAUGGAAGAAAAAGGAGUACAGGCUUUACCUAAUGUACCUACAGCAACAAUGGGUUGCCCCACCAAACAUCACUAGAGGACUAGGAAGGAAAACGGUGAUUUCUCAAUCAGGUUCUAUUGGCCGUUCUAGCAUUAGCAUCAUGAAGAUUCUGGAACAGUGCACGACAUGCCCAAUCCCAAGGUCUUCCCUUAGCUGGUGAAGCACAUGAGCCGGUGUCAAGCAAUAUCCCCUGUAUACUUUGUCCUUGUGUUCUUUCCAGGUAUGCAUCCAUAUCAGCUGCAUCAGGGAGCUCCAUGCACAGUGGUACUACUUCCGAACGUGUAGAACAUGCAAUUGUAUGUAAAUCGCCUUGAAAUGAUGGUUGCUGAAUACUGCAUUAUGCUUGAUAGUCUACCUGGACGACUUCAAGCGCUAAUAGAUGCAAAGCAUCCAGGAUGUGAUCAAUCAUAUGCUGGAGAAUGGCAUUGAGACCUUACUUCACUGGAUAAUGGCAUUUAUAUGCGAUUCCAGUCCUUUCAUAGUGCAGGUGAACUGGAAAUUCUAUCAAAGACAACUGUCCUUUCUUCAGUGUACAUGCAUGAUAUUACAUGAUUAAACAUACCAUUUUUAACUUCAUUUAGUUGUCUAUAUUAUGCUCUAUGUGCUAUUACCAACAAAAAUAGUGUUACCUCCGUACCAGGCCUUCCAAAUAUCUUAUAUUUUGGUACGGAGGUAGUACUUUUAGCCUGCAAAGCGACUUCUAUGCCCAUUGUGGCAAUAAUGUGUUUGCACCACUGAAGAGAUAACUUAUUUUUUUCAUUGUAAGAAACACAUCAUGUUUCUUCCCCAUCAUUUAAGUGUGUGCGAUGUUAUCUUUGUUCAUGUUGCUGGCUGUACAUUUUCAGUAUUCUCAGGAUAUAUCUGAUUAGGAUGAUGUUCCGUACUGCUCUGGAGCCGACAACUUUUUGGACUGCUCGAUGUUUAUAACCAAUGAGACUACUUUUUUGGUUGUUGGCUGGAGCUAUCACUAUGACUGAAAUUUUCUUUUCACCCAAGUAAAUUUAUAUGGUCAUCAAAAACCAACCACAGGUCAACACUUGUCAGCAGUUUGCAAUUUGUAUUACAGUAUGCCUAAGCCAAUGUUCAGACAAUGUUGUUUUAGUUAGGAAAUGUAGAAAACAUGGUCAUGAUUUAUGUAGAUUGGACAGUCCCUUCAAACUGCAGUCUUUGAUCUAGAGUGGACAAUCUAACUAUAUGUUUCCUUUUAGAAAAUGACUAUAUGUUCCAUGAAUUCACUGCUUAUUUUGGCCAGAUCAGAUUAAACUAGGUCUUGAUUUCAAGGUUCAGUUAAGGCAGUUGGUGCAGGUUUGUUUGCUGUAAUACUAACUGUGCUAUUUAGACAGAGACAUUUGCUCUUUCUCAUUCCUCGACAUUUUCCUUUGCUACCAAGAUUUUUCAUUCUAGGUUGUGGAAAACGCAUGUAGCGUUCCUUCUACAAGUCGUCAUGAGCUGGGACAUAGAAGAAGAGAGCCGACGAGAAGUCGCAAAGCGGUUCGCUCCGGUGUUGCUGCCAAUGGCGCUGCACAAAGUGCAGAUUGCAGGCUAGAUGCGUACAAGUCCGUCCCUACUUCCACGACGUGGAAGCAAAGGAAAUUUAGUCAAUUAGAUAGUAUAUUUGGUUAUGAAAGUUAUCUUUUGUGUAUGCAGUUUUGCCAUCAUUUUGUAAAAGCUUUGAGUUUUUUAUAAUGUAAUUGUCUUACUAAUCACACUUUUAAUUGAUUUGUGCCAAGGCUAAUAGCCAAGUUAUGCACAAACUGUUCAUGUUUCCUUGAUGACUGCUAUUGUCAGAAGAUUCUUUUCAGCA